rnacentral:tRNA from 1 species
AACUUUUAAAGGAUAGUAGUAAU